CAUGAACUUCAUUAGUACUGCUUUCGGCGUGUUUUUUGAGUAUGACACACCGCGAAUUGUCCAUAUACAAAGCAAGAAGGUCGGUGUGAUCAACCGUUUUAUCCAGCUCUGCAUCAUAGGCUAUGUCAUCGGGUAUGCUAUCAUUUACAAGAAAGGUUACCAGGACUUUGACAAUGUACAAAGUGUGGUCACUACAAAGGUCAAAGGCAUUGUCAUGGUGAACACCUCAAUACAUCCAGACAUUCAAUCUAUCUGGGAUGUGGCAGACUACAUUGUACCCCCUCAGGAAAAUAAUGCCUUCUUUGUUAUAACAAAUCUGAUUGUUACUCCAUUCCAAACACUUGGCACAUGUCCAGAGGACAUCAAAAUAAAGGGUUCCAACUGCACCUUGGACCGGGACUGUCCAGCUGGCACAUCUCUACCAGUGGGCAAUGGAGUUUUAACAGGAAAGUGUAAUACUGACGUGGGCAGAUGUGACAUAUAUGCCUGGUGUCCCGUGGAAAAAGGAACUUUAGAGAUCCCAAAACCGGCAGUUUUGGAGAAUUCAAAAGAUUUUACGGUCUUCAUUAAGAAUAAUAUAGAGUUUCCAAAGUAUAAUGUUAAAAGGAGAAAUAUUUUUGGUUUUCAAUCAAAUGAAGAGUUGUCACAAUGCCGGUACAAUGCAGAUGAUCCGGUAGCAAAGUAUUGCCCAAUUUUUGUGUUGAGCGAAAUUGUAGGUGGCUCAGGAAGUAGUUAUGCAGAUUUAUCUAAAGAGGGGGGUGUGAUUCAGAUCCGCAUCAAAUGGAACUGUAACCUGGAUCUCUCAGAAGAGAAUUGUCUACCAGAGUACAGCUUCAGGAGACUGGAUAGUAGCACCUACAAAAUAUCCAAGGGAUACAACUUUAGAUAUUCAAAGAAUUUUAAAUUUGAGAAUGGUACAGAAUACAGGACUCUUUAUAAAGCCUUUGGAAUAAAGUUUGUGAUCUCGGUAUCUGGUCAGGCUCGCAAAUUCGCACCUGUUCCAUUUUUUACAAACAUUGGAAGCGGGCUUGCUCUUUUGUCAAUAGCCACAGUAAUCUGUGAUAUUGUCGUACUUUACGUUCUGAAAGCCAAGGUGGUUUACAGAGAAAAGAAAUACCUGCAGGUUGUUGGGGACGAUGCAUACAAAGGAUUAGUGAAUGAAGAAGGGAGGCCUAGAACAAAUUAUGGCAUGCCAUCCGAAAAUGAGUAUGACUUGUAAUUUCCACGCACUUAGGUUUUAGACUAGUAGUCCAUAAUUAGCAUACUGCCAUCCGUAACAUUUAUGUGCCAUAGGAGAAUCGGUUACUGUCAUCAAUCCCUGACUAUUUCAAACUUCCCAACAGAAUUCGUCAAAAAAGACUUUGAAUAACCUUUGUUAUUGUAGUUUGAAUCAUUUGAUGCUUGAAUCAAGGGGUAUGCAUAUCAUUAUGAAGUUAUAAUUAGGAACGACAAGCUGAUUAUUGAUCAGAAGGGUUUUGUAGUAACUUCUGAGGUGAUGUAAUGGUGAAUUUUAGUUUUUAUGCUGCUGUGCUUAGUCCACGUUAGUGUUUUUCAUUACAGUCACUGUAGUGUACAUGUACAUAUUUACACUCGAACUUGAUUUUGAUAUGUUAAGCUUUUACAAAUUUGUUGUUUUCAUUUCGCAAUCAUUCAGAAUGACAUCGCGAUGCCACACUACACAAUAAUGAUGACAUCCUAAUGCCAAUCUUUCAGAUGUUGUUUUCUAUCUCAGGAUAAUAAUGAUAAUUGAUAUAUCAUGAAAUGAAACCUAGCAGCUCAAAAUGAAUACAAAAGACUGCGAAGAAAAAGCCGUUAUUUUGUUUUGACCAAGUCGAUUGUUUUUUGUUUUUUUUUGGGGGGGGGGGGGGGGGUGGGGGGGAUGGGUGUUGUUAAUGUUUACGCACAGUGAUUUGUAAUCACACUUAUUGAUUAUGUGGAAUAGCUUGUCACAAUAAGGUACUUUGAUUUAUCUACAAUAUGCAUUCCUUCAUUAAUUAGUCUCGAUUAUCCAGGCGUUUGUGUAUACUCCCUACUAACAUCUGGAAAGAAAAAAAAAAUCCUGGUUAAAUGACGUCGAUCUAGUAAACAUCAAGUUAAUAACGCUGUAGAAAAAAAGCAGUGUCUGAUGAAUUUUCCGAGUUACUUGAUGACUUAAAAUAUACGAUACUUUAUCAGGAUUAAUUCAUUAUAACUCAGGGUUAUCCCCAGAUGUCAAAUUCAACUUGCAUAAUAGUCAAGGGGCGCGUUUUACAAAACAACUUACAACAAAGUCGCAAGUCUUAAAUUGUAUUACACUGUUAUUACUUUGAGUGAGUGAAGGAAAACUUUUCUGAGGCUUAAUUUUCAACAUUUUAAAAAAUAUAUUUUGCAUUUGGAGUGAAUGAUCUUACAAUAAACUGGAAAAUUCCAGUAUGUAAAGUUGGCCUUAAGUCGUAAGUUCUUUUGUAAAACGCAUCCCUGAAGUCCAGGGAAAAUGUUCUAAACACUAAAUCCGGUUUUUUUUACCAUGGAAAAUAAUUGCUUCAACUUUCUAGAGAUCUUUCAAAUCAAAGUAGUUUCUAUGGGUGCAGGUAUUACCGUUUUGAACUAGCCAAUCGGCGUCUUUCUCAGAAUUUCAAUAGGCCUCGCUUUAAGUUCAGAAGAAUCCAGACGUUUGUGGGAACGCUUGUAUGAUUGAGACUAUCCAUUAGUCAUCCGUCCACAUCAUGUUCAACAGUUUUUAUAUGCCCGUCUUUAGACGGGACGUAUUAUGGUACAGCGAUGUCUGUACAUCCGUCCGUCCGUUCGGGGUUUUCUCUUUAUAAUUUCAUUUCCCUUUCACAUAUCAUGCUGAAACUUGCUGUGUAGCUUCUUUGUGGGUCACUCUAGAUCAUACUGCAAUUUUGAUCCAUUUUGACCUUUUUUCCAGGAGUUUUGCCCCUUUAUUUGAAUAUAAUUAUUAUAUGGAGGGUACAUAAUUUGUCCGCCCUACUCCUCCCACAGUUUUCAAGUGAGAGCCUUCUUAUUAUGCCCCCUUCAAAGAAGAGGGGCAUAUUGGUUUGCACCUGUCGGUUGGUAGACCACAUGUUGUCCGCUCAAUAUCUUGAGAACCAUUCACUUGAUGAUAAUGAUAUUUCAUAUGUGGGUUGGUUAUGAGUAGAAGAGGACCCCUAUUGUUUUUCAGGUCCAAAGGUCAAGGGCCAAUCUACUCUGGACAUAGGAAUAUAAUGUCCGCUCAAUAUCUUGAGAAUCCUUUUGCUUGAAAAACAUCAAACUUAGCACACUGGUACAUCCUAAGGAGUAGAUGACCCCUAUUGAUUUUGAGGUUAUAUGGUCAAGGGUCAAACUGGGCAUAGGAAUAUACUGACCAUUCAAUGUCUAGAGAACCCUUUGCUUGACAGACAUCAAACUUGGUACACCAGUACAUCUUCAGAAGAAGAUGACCCCUAUUGAUUUUGAGGUCAAAGGUCAAGGGUCAAACUGGACAUAGGAAUAUACUGUCCGUUCAAUAUAUUGAGAACCCUUUGCUUGACAGACAUCAAACUUGGCACACUGGUACAACUUCAGAAGAAGAUGACCCCUAUUGAUUUUGAGGCCACAUGGUCAAGGGUCAAACAGGACAUUAGAAUAUACUGUCCGCUCAAUAUCUUGAGAACUCUUUGCUUGACAGACAUCAAACUUAGUACACUGGUACAUCUUCAGGAGAAAAUUACCCCUAUUGAUUUUGAUAUCAUAUGUUUAAAGGUCAAGGGUCAAACUGGACAUUGGAAUAUACUGUCUGCUCAAUAUCUUGAGAACCCUUUGCUUGACAGACAUCAAACUUAGUACACUGGUACGUCUUCAGGAGAAGAUGACCCCUAUUGAUUUUGAGGUCACAUUGUCAAAGGUCAAGGGUCAAACUGGACAUAGGAAUAUACUGUCCGUUCAAUAUCUUGAGAACCCUUUGCUUGACAGACAUCAAACUUGGUACACUGGUACAUCUUCAGGAGAAGAUGAUCCCUAUUGAUUUUGAGGUCAUAUGUUUAAAGGUCAAGAGUCAACAUGGACAUUGGAAUAUACUGUCCGCUCAAUAUCUUGAGAACCCUUUGCUUGACAGACAUCAAACUUAGUACAGUGGUGUAUAUUCAGGAGGAGAUGACUCCUAUUGAUUUUGAGGUCACAUGGUCAAAGGUCAAACCGGACAUAGUAAUAUACUGUCCACUCAAUAUCUUGAUAACCCUUUUGCUUGACAGACAUCAAACUUAGUACACUUGUACAUCUUCAGGAGAAGAUGACCCAUAUUGAUUUUGAGGUCAAAAGUCAAUUGUUGAACUGGACAUAGUAAUAUAUUGUCUCCUAUAUUUUAAGAAUUAUUUGCUUGAUUGACACCAAACUUGGUACACUGGUACAGCAUAAGGAGUAGAUGACCCCUAUUGAUUUUUAGGUCACAUGGUCAAUUCACUCUUGACAUAGGAAGAUAUUGUCUGCUCAAUAUUUUGAAUUUAAAUUAAAUGAUGUGUGUGUAUAACCCUUUUCAAUUUUGCACCAUGGGUGGCAUAUGUGUUUUACAAACAUCUCUUGUUUUGUGGAGUGUUUGUAUGGGUAUUGAAGAUGUGCAUGUGGGAUGGAUUUUGAUUUUCUACAAUUUUUGAGAAAAUUACAGGUUGUUGAACUUAGUCCAUUUGGAAAUUAAUAUUCUAUGGAGGGUACAUAAUUUGCCCGCCCAACUCCUCCCACAGUUUUCAAGUGAGGACCAUCUUAUUUUGUGGAGUGUUUGUAUGGGUAUUGAAGAUGUUCAUCUGGGGAAGGAUUUUGAUUUUCUUCCAGUUUUGAAAAAAAUACAGGUUGUUGAACUUGGUCCAUUUUGAGGAAAUCUAGAUUUUUAAGCUAAGACCCUUUGUUCAUAUGAAAGUUUGUCACAGCCUCAUGAUGGCUGAUAAUACCUGAAGCAAAGUUAUACAAAUUAUAGCACAAGAAAAACACCCUAUGUAAGCAUUUCACGGGCGUAUUAUGUUCCGUUUGUGGUACUCUUGUUCCAUAUUGUCUUCGUUGUAAAGUUCGUAUUUGUAUAUUUACAAUAUUUGGCGUAAUCACUUUAUCAUGUAUAAAUAGAUAUGCUAGAACAUUCUCAUGCAAUAUUGAUGGUGAUUUUUAUUGACCAAAUUAAAUUCAUUGAUGUAUAA